rnacentral:rRNA from 1 species
AACGAACGCUGGCGGCAUGCCUAACACAUGCAAGUCGAACGAGACCUUCGGGUCUAGUGGCGCACGGGUGCGUAACGCGUGGGAACCUGCCCUUAGGCUCGGAAUAACUCCCCGACAGGGGUGCUAAUACCGGAUAAUGUCUUCGGACCAAAGAUUUAUCGCCUGUGGAUGGGCCCGCGUUGGAUUAGCUAGUUGGUAGGGUAAAAGCCUACCAAGGCGACGAUCCAUAGCUGGUCUGAGAGGAUGAUCAGCCACACUGGGACUGAGACACGGCCCAGACUCCUACGGGAGGCGGCAGUGGGGAAUAUUGGACAAUGGGGGAAAGCCUGAUCCAGCAAUGCCGCGUGAGUGAUGAAGUCCUUAGGGUUGUAAAGCUCUUUUACCCGGGAUGAUAAUGACAGUACCGGGAGAAUAAGCGCCGGCUAACUCCGUG